rnacentral:rRNA from 1 species
CGUGAGUAACCUGCCUUGGAGCGGGGAAUAACACAGUGAAAAUUGUGCUAAUACCGCAUAAUGCAUUUGGAUCGCAUGGUUCUGAAUGCCAAAGAUUUAUCGCUCUGAGAUGGACUCGCGUCUGAUUAGCUAGUUGGCGGGGCAACGGCCCACCAAGGCGACGAUCAGUAGCCGGACUGAGAGGUUGGCCGGCCACAUUGGGACUGAGACACGGCCCAA